rnacentral:rRNA from 1 species
AGGAAUUGGCGGGGGAGCACCACAAGGGGUGAAGCCUGCGGUUCAAUUGGAGUCAACGCCAGGAAUCUUACCUGGGGAGACAGCAGAAUGAAGGUCAAGCUGAAGACUUUACCAGACAAGCUGAGAGGAGGUGCAUGGCCGUCGCCAGCUCGUGCCGUGAGGUGUCCUGUUAAGUCAGGUAACGAGCGAGAUCCCUGCCCUUAGUUGCUACAGUUACUCUCAGGAGUAGCUGGGCUAACUAGGGGGACCGCCACUGCUGAAGUGGAGGAAGGAGGGGGCCACGGCAGGUCAGUAUGCCCCGAAACCCUAGGGCUACACGCGGGCUGCAAUGGUAGCGACAACGGGUUCCGAACUCGAGAGAGAGAGGCAAUCCCUAAACGCUACCUCAGUUAUGAUUGAGGGCUGCAACUCGCCCUCAUGAAUAUGGAAUCCCUAGUAACCGCGCGUCACAACCGCGCAGUGAAUACGUCCCUGCUCCUUGCACACACCGCCCGUC